UGCCAUCUCAAAUUAUGCCAGAUUAGCAUAUGAUUACAUGAAGCAUGAUUAUUGUCAGUUGAAAACAUCCGAGAAAUUGUAGUUUCAGAUAGGGCUAGCAGACCUGUUUCUUUAUCUUAGCCAUGCACAAAUAUGGCUUCUCUCUCCAACUCUCUUUAGUAAUCUUUGAUGAAAGAACAGUGGUGUGAAUUGCAUUUGUAUCCUUUUUAGUGUGUCUAACACAGUGUUCAUAUAAUGAACUCUGAAUAAUUAUUUAUAGAUUGAAUGAAUAAAUGAACAAUAUAAAUGAUGUCACCAGUGCUAGAAAGGUAUAAUCUGUUAACUUAGACAUAUCUCAACAAGUUAUUAAUUUUUAUAUUCACUGAGACAAAUUAAGAAAAAGUAGUCGAUAUUUGCAUGCUUGGAAGAAUUUAAUUCUGGUGACUUUUUGAAACGGAAAUUUUGUAAGUGCCAAUAAAUAGCAUUUACAUUAUUUGUUGUGCUCUACAAUUUCGUCAUGAUAAUAAAAUAUUGUUUGGAUAUAAAAAAGAUCUGACUAAACUAGCCUGGGUGGUGUCCAAACCAUCUGUUUAGGUCCAAAAAACACUUGUAGGGAAUAAAUAUGUCUAUAAUGAGCUUGUGACUUUUAGAUUUGAAACCUUAAGUGCAGAAUUCAAUAACAGUCCUCAGAUGGCAGCUCUCAGAGAUAUCUACCAAGGAAGAAAACAGACAAGUUACCAUUGCUAGUCAGAUGCCUUUGCCAAGAAAGCGGAAGCAUGGAAAUGUAGGUCACAGAUGGAAUUCCAUUAUUUCAUGGCUAUGGUGUCCUAAGCAGAAAUCUGAAAACCACACCUGGCUGAGUUCCGAUCAGAAGGAGCACCCAUGUCCCCCUCUGUGGGGCUUGGCCUACUCUCAAGCAUGGCCCUCUUCCCUCUCACGGAUAGGCAGGAACGAUUUUCUUAAUCUUUACUUCGUCUAACAUUAUUUAUAUCUUCCACUGCAAGCCAGGCACUGUGCACAUUGUUGGUGGUUCAGCAGCAAUCCAGAUAAACUUGAUUCUUCCCUCCACGGAGAUUUUUGCAGAAUGAACACAGUCUUUGGAAUCAAAUGCAGAUCUGAAUACAACGCUUUCUACCCAAGAGCAAAGCAGAUACAUAGGAUCUCUGACACCUCAAUAAAAUGCUUAUAUCCAAAAAGGAUCAUGCAAUGAGAAUAGCAGAAUUUA
rnacentral:lncRNA from 1 species